rnacentral:tmRNA from 1 species
GGGGGUGACAGGCUUCGACUUCGGGUGUCGGAGGUAGGAGAAGCGAGCCGUGGUCUCCGGAACCACGUAAAAGAGCCGGAACAAAAAUAAACGCCGAGCCACAGCUCGCACUCGCCGCUUAAGGCGACGUCCCUCUGACCUAGGUAUCAGGGGUCAGACAGGGGCGUAAUUUACUGAAACUUACCUGACGUUCCGGGUCACCCGGGAGCCAAGGGAAACUUAGGGUGACAAGGUUUUGGUCGACUCGCCAGGAAAUCGAUCCGAACCUACUGAUCCUGGAUGCGCUCGGAGAAGGCCUACCAAAGAACUGAAGGACGCGGGUUCAAUUCCCGCCACCUCCACUA